AGGGCCGUAGCGCAGAGGUCGUCGCGCCGGACAGCGAGUUGGAGGACGUCGGUUCGAAUCCGACCGGUCCUG
rnacentral:tRNA from 2 species